UGUAAAUGAGUAGGCUACUACUAGUACUUUUGCAGGCUGAAUGUUAAAAUACUUCUUAACUUAGAGAGAUGGCAGCUGCAGUAGUUCGCAAUUGGACCUUCGAGGAUUCCUGGUCACUAAAUUCCCUCCUUAGGGGGCUUUUAUUUUGCCUAUUAAAUUCGCGUAUAUAUAAGGUGAUGCACUUCCCGUCGACCUCUUCUGCUUCUACAACCGCGUGUCAUAAAGCUGUGGAGAUGAGCAGCCAAAGAGUUGGAGACGUUCCGUCUGAAGCUUGUACCGUUGAUCAAGCCCAUCUGCCAAAGAUGCAGACAUUUUGUGUGAAGCUCGUAACGUCGAUCCAGCUGGUCCACAGCCAAAGAUGCAGACAUUUUGUGUGAAGCCCGUAUCGUCGAUCCCGCUGGUCCACAGCCAAAGAUGCAGACAUUUUGUGUGAAGCCCGUAUCGUCGAUCCCGCUGGUCCACAGUCAAAGAUGCAGACAUUUUGUGUGAAGCUUGUAUCGUCGGUCCAGCUGGUCCACAGCCAAAGAUGCAGACAUUUUGUGUGAAGCCCGUAUCGUCGAUCCCGCUGGUCCACAGCCAAAGAUGCAGACAUUUUGUGUGAAGCUUGUAUCGUCGGUCCAGCUGGUCCACAGCCAAAGAUGCAGACAUUUUGUGUGAAGCCUGUAUCGUCGAUCCAGCUGGUCCACAGGUAACAUCCAUCUUAUUAUAUAAUAACUAUCGCUCUUAAGAAGUGCUAUGGUCUGUGAUGAAAAAACAUGCACCACGCUGAACCAGUGAUGUAUAACCCAUUGCUUUCUGAGGCCUUCAAAUGGCAACGACCAUUAUAUUCACUCGUAAAACUAGAUAUUUUGUAGAAAUUGUCAAAAUACCCUUGUUGACAACGGAGGCGAAAUGUUAAUUUCACAUCAAGGUCACUUUCCAUCCAGUGUUUUUACUAAUCUCUUCAUAAAUUGUUUCACCACAGCCAAAGAUGCUGACAUUUUGUGUGAGGCUCGCAUCGUCGAUCCAGCUGUUCCACAGGUUGUUCGGACCUGGCAAUUGUAGAACAUCAUGCUGGUUCUACAGACACGGAAGGCACAAAGCACUGCAGACGGAAGAACCUACCAGUUCCUGAGGCAAGUUUUAUCCAGCCGGCAGAGGGUUGUCAUGGAGCUGAUUGUCAAAUACACAAUAUUUGUAUUUUGUACUGCAGAAACUGCAUUUUAGGGCUGGCUGUUUUCUGAACUUGACAUUGCCAAAUGUGAACAAUAAAAUGUUGUUGAAAAACGGGAAUUGUUUGGCUGUUAUGGUAAUAUUAUUUAACUUGAAUUAAUUUACAAUUAGGAGGUCAUCCAUACAGAAACUAUUCCAUCAUGGUCAUAUGCAUAUAUAUACUAUACAAAUAUAUUUAACUGUAAUAUUGAUAAUGCAUUA
ensembl:lncRNA